rnacentral:rRNA from 1 species
GGGGAGGAAACUAAACAAGAUUCCCUUAGUAACGGCGAGUGAACCGGGAAAAGCUCAAAUUUGUAAUCUGGCUGUCUUCGAUAGUCCGAGUUGUAAUCUAUAGACGUGUUUUCCGUGCUGGACCGUAUCUAAGUCCCUUGGAACAGGGUAUCAAAGAGGGUGACAAUCCCGUGCUUGAUACGACCACCAGUGCUCUGUGAUACACGUUCUACGAGUCGAGUUGUUUGGGAAUGCAGCUCAAAAUGGGUGGUAAAUUCCAUCUAAAGCUAAAUAUUGGCGAGAGACCGAUAGCGAACAAGUACCGUGAGGGAAAGAUGAAAAGCACUUUGGAAAGAGAGUUAAACAGUACGUGAAAUUGUUGAAAGGGAAACGAUUGAAGUCAGUCGUGUUCUUUGGAUUCAGCUAGUUCUUCUAGUCUACUUCCAUUGAACGGGUCAACAUCAGUUUUGUCCGGUGGAUAAAGGUAUUAGGAAUGUAGCUCCCUCGGGAGUGUUAUAGACUAGUAUUGCAUACACUGGGUGAGACUGAGGACUGCAGCUCGCCUUUUGGCCGGCCUUCGGGUACGUUCGAGCUUUAGGAAUUUAAAAUC